rnacentral:misc_RNA from 1 species
GGAUCACCCAGCUGAUUUAUAUGAUUUUCAUAUUUAUAGCAGCGCAAGUUCUGUAUUUUCUAAUGCUCGCCAUUUUGAUAGUGCACCACGCAGAGGACCAAAGGCUUUUGUGAGUGAGUAUGCCGUGACUGGAAAUGAUGCUGGAAAAGGUAGUCUUUUAGCAGCAUUGGGUGAAGCUGGGUUCCUCAUUGGGGUAGAAAAGAACAGCGAAGCAAUUGAAAUGGCAAGUUACGCACCCCUAUUUGUUAAUGACAAUGACCGGAGGUGGAACCCAGAUGCAAUUG